AUACGGAGGGUGCAAGCGUUAUUCGGAAUCACUGGGCGUAAAGGACGCGUAGGCGGGUUGGCAAGUCAGAUGUGAAAUCCUACAGCUUAACUGUAGAACUGCAUUUGAAACUGCUAACCUAGAGUAUGGGAGGGGGAGAUGGAAUUAGUGGUGUAGGGGUAAAAUCCGUAGAUAUCACUAGGAAUACCGAAAGCGAAGGCGAUCUCCUGGAACAUAACUGACGCUAAGGCGUGAAAGCGUGGGGAGCAAACAGGAUUAGAAACCCCGUAGUCC
rnacentral:rRNA from 1 species